UUGAUACCGAAAUACGGGGAAAAGUGGUAUCGGUAUCGAAUAUAUCGGUUCGGUACCGUACCGGUACCCGGUACCAAAUGCUCAUCCCUGGUCUAAUGUCAAAGCAAUUAAAGCUACAUGGCUAGGUCAGAAGAGAGAAACAGUCAUCCGGUAGAAAAUCAUGAAAAUCCUAAGAUACAUGUGACCGGAGCAGAACUACAAGCACUGAUAGAUAAUGUUGUUGCAAAAGCUAUGGAGCGACAGUAUAAUGAAUCUAGCGGGACGCAUAGUAGAACCUCUUCAGCACCCCACUCUAAAUCCGUCCCUAAAACUCAUUCAGAAGCUCACAGCAAGCCACCCUCUAAGAAAGAUGAACCCAGAAAGAGGAUGUUCAACAUUCCUCAAACCAACACAGUGUUCCAUCCAAGAGGAUUGUGUUCGAUAAUGAACCACGUACCAAGUCUUGUACCUAUAAGUACUUUGUUUCCUGCAAACCCAGGAUUUCACUGGGGAGAAAGGGGCAAUAGAUUGUAUGACCUGGUUAGAUGAAAUGGACACUGUUGUUGAUAUCAGCGGUUGUGCUGAAAGGGAUAUAGUGAAGAAUGGAUCCCAAUCAUUCAAGGGAGAGGCAUUAGCUUGGUGGAAGUCUCUCAUUCAAGCUGCUGGAAAGAUCACAUUAUACAAUUUGUCAUGGGAUCAGUUCGUUGCUCUCAUUAAAGAGAAUUAUUGCCCGCAGCAUGAG
rnacentral:lncRNA from 1 species